rnacentral:misc_RNA from 1 species
UACGAGACGACUGCCCGCGUC